rnacentral:rRNA from 1 species
CCAGCAGCUGCGGUAAUUCCAGCUCUAAUAGCGUAUAUUAAAGUUGUUGCAGUUAAAAAGCUCGUAGUCGGAUGUCGGGGUCGGGCAGACAAGGAGCUUCGUGCCGAUUGUAUGCUCGUCUCUUUUUGCCUGGGGACUGGCAGCUCCUUCACUGGUGUUGUCAGGACACAGGCCGUUUACUUUGAAAAAAUCAGAUCGUUCAAAGAAGGCUUUUGCUCGAAUAUGUUAGCAUGGAAUAAUGGAAUAGGACUUUGGUGCUAUUUUGUUGGUUUAUGGGACCGAAGUAAUGAUUAAUAGGGACAGUUGGGGCCGUUUAUAUUUCGUUGUCAGAGGUGAAAUUCUUGGAUUUACGAAAGAUAAACUUCUGCGAAAGCAUUCGGCAAGGAUGUUUUCAUUGAUCAAG